CUGUGGCGAGUAGCUCGGCACAGAGGGAGGUGGCGGCUCCUGGCCGCCGGGCUGGCAGUACCAGAGCCCCCGCGCGUGUUGUAAAGGAAUUGCCGUGAUUUGUUACGCCUUCACAACCUGCUUCGUCCCAGCUUUUCCAGGCUGGCCAGUGCAUGAGCAGCAGUCGUUAGUUGUGCCGCCUAAUCUGGUGACUCUGAGGCUUUGCAGCCAGCCAGCGAUGCCACUGACACGUGCGGUUCACAGGAUUCCUCAGGUCUGGAGGAUGCUGGUGCAGGUCAGAGAAGCUGUGAGUGCCGCUUAUGCAGCUGGAAGAAUGGGGAGAGGAGGAAGCCUGGCUGGGACUGAAGAUCUUAUUAGACGACCUGGUGAUCAAGCUUUGAAGAUGUAACUUCGAAAAAUUUACUGAAGUGCACAGUAUCAGAAUAAAGGCAAUAAUUCAUUACCCAUGACUCAUAACUCAGCUCUUGCCACUAUCUCCUUUUGGUUAAGGGCUCUGGCUUCAUGUAUCUAUUUUAUUUCUAGCUCUUUGUAAAUGUAACAUACCCAUCCACAGUGCUACUGUGGUGAGCUGUGGCUUGUAAAUUGAAUAUCUUUGGAUCAAUGUUGCUUAGAAUCCCUACUUCCUGUACAACUAAUGAAAAGAGUUUAUGCCUAAAUUCAUCCCUACUGUAAUUCCAGUAAAGAAAAUGAAGCCAGGCAUGCAUAUACUGCUGAGGUUUUUUUCCCUUCUCUCCGUUAUUCAAGUCUAUGAGGUCACUGCAGAAGAGGGAAAUAAAAGAGGCUGAGGAAGAAAUAAGA